UCUCUUGUUGGCCAUGCUGUGGUCACUUUAAAUGUAAUACCCUAAAUGAUACUGUAGACAAGAUCAUGGAUUUGUAUAGUUUCCCAGGAUUUCUGUUCAUUGAAAAUUAAAUGACACGAACAGAGAUACUGAACCAGGAAGAGUAUUUGUGUGACUCUUAGCAGAUGCCAAAGCAGAUACUGGUCCAUUAUUUAAUGUCAUCUAGGUAAUUACUCAGUGAAGAAGUUUCUGUAGGUGAUGUAGACCCUACUGCAGAUAUAGAACUGAAGUUCCGAGGUCUUCAAUGAUUAACUCAGUCUUAUUGGAAGCAAAUGACAUUGCUGUGUGUCCAGACUGGCAUCUGUUGACAUCAAAUUCCUGAUGUCCUUCUGGAUAUUGAAGGUUGGUGUUCUGCUAUGGGAAUAUUAAUGUGCUGAUUACAGGGUACUGAUUCAGAUGGCUCUGAGGGUGAUAACAGAACUUCCGGAAUUUGAGCCUUGCCAGGGCUGCCUAGUGGGGUAGAUCACACUGUCUCUGCACGUACUCUUUGCAGCUGGGUGUGUCCCAUGAACCAGGCCUGGGUUUGAGGGAUAUGAAAGGAGUGAUUUGUGCAGCUCUUGGCACAUGAAGUUCAACUUGCCCUGGAUACCCUCUGUAUGCCUUCACCUGGCCUAGAAGUGGAAAUAAAUGGAGUGGUGCCUUCGGACCAGAAGUAGAAGGCUUGCAAAGAAUAUGUCAUGUCUGAGCUAACCUGACAGGCCAGUGUUUAGGAUGACGCUGUGAAGCAGAGCCACCCACUUUCCCUGGACACCCAGAAACCACUGAAGAGAAACAACUUAUCUUAUGUAAGCCUUGUAUUUUUGGACCUUUGCUACAUCUGCUUGUU